UACAGAGGUGGCAAGCGUUGUUCGGAAUUACUGGGCGUAAAGGGCGCGUAGGCGGUCUUGUAAGUCUUGUGUGAAAUCCCUCGGCUUAACUGAGGAACUGCACGAGAUACUGCGAGACUUGAGUUCGGGAGAGGAAAGCGGAAUUCCGGGUGUAGCGGUGAAAUGCGUAGAUAUCCGGAGGAACACCGGUGGCGAAGGCGGCUUUCUGGACCGACACUGACGCUGAGGCGCGAAAGCUAGGGGAGCGAACGGG
rnacentral:rRNA from 1 species